ensembl:lncRNA
GAAAUUAUCUCCAGAAGCUGAAACCCUUUCAAGCAGCAGCAGACAAUAGACGCCAACCGUGUGUGUGUGUGUGUGUGUGAAACAGACUGCAGAUGCCAGAUAGGCCAUGUGUGUGAGAACUCUGAACUCAAACCAGGUGGGAUAAAUCAAAUCAAAUUUUAUUUGUAAUAUGCGCCGAAUACAACAGGUGUAGGUAGACCUUACCGUGAAAUGCUUACUUACAAGUCCUUAACCAACAAUGCAGUUCAAGAAAUAGAGUUAAGAAAAUAUUUAGUAAAUCAACUAAAGUGAAGAAAAAAAAAGAAAAAUAACACAAGAAUAUUACAAUAACGAGGGGGUACCGGUACCGAGUCAAUGUGUGGGGUUACAGGUUAGUCGAGGUCAUUUGUAAAGGGACUAUGCAUAGCUAAUAAACAGUGAUGAGCAUUAGUGUAAAAACAAAGGGGUUGAAUAGUCCGGGUGGCCAUUUGAUUAAUUGUUUAGCAGUCUUAUGGCUUGGUGGAAGAAGCUUUUAAGGAGCCUUUUGGUUCGAGACUUGGUGCUCCGGUACCGCUUGCCGUGUGGUAGCAGAGAGAACAGUCUAUGACUUGGUUGACUGGAGACAAUUCUUUGGGCCUUCCCCUGACACCGCCUAGUAUAUAGGCCCUGGAUGGCAGGAAGCUUGGCCCCAGUGAUGUACUGGGCCAUACGCAUUACCCCCUGUAGUGCCUCGUGGUCGGAUGCCGAGCAGUUUCAUUACAAGGUGGUGAUACAACCGGUCAGGAUGCUCUCGAUGGUGCAGCUGUAGAACUUUGAGGAUAUGGGGACCCAUGCCAAAUCUUUUCAGUCUCCUGAGGGGGAAAAAGUGUUUUCGUGCCCUCUUCAAAACUGUGUUGGUGUGUUUGGACCAUGAUAGUUUGUUGGUGAACUUGAAAAUCUCGAUCCGCUCCACUACAGCCCUGUCAAUGUUAAUGGGGCCCUGUUUGGCACACCUUUUUCCUGUAGUCCAAGAUCAGCUCUUUUGUCUUGCUCACAUUGAGGGUAGAGGUUGUUGGCCUGGCACCACACUGCCAGGUCUCUGACCUCCUCCCUAUAGGCUGUCUCAUCGUUGUUGAUGAUCACUGUUGUGUCGUCAGCCAACUUAAUGAUGGUGUUGGAGUCAUGUUUGGCCAUGCAGUCGUGGGUGAACAGGGAGUACAGGAGGGGACUCAGCAUGCACCCCUGAGGAGCCCACGUGUUGAGGAUCAGCGUGGCAGAUGUGUUGUUGCCUACCCUCCCCACCUGGGGGCGGCCCGUCAGGAAGUCCAGGAUCCAGUUGCAGAGGGAGGUGUUUAGUCCCAGGGUCCUCAUUUUAGUGAUGAGCUUUGUGGGCACUUUGGUGUUGAACGCUGAGCUGUAGUCAAUGAACAGCAUUCUCACAUAGGUGUUCCUUUUGUCCAGGUGGGAAAUGGCAGUGUGGAGUGCGAUUGAGAUUGCGUCAUCUGUGGAUCUGUUGGGGUGGUAUGCAAAUUGGAGUGCGUCUAGGGUUUCCGGCAUGAUGAUGUUGUCAGACAUGACCAACCUUUCAAAGCACUUCAUGGCUACCAACAUGAGUGCUACGGGCACUCAUUUAGGCAGGUUACCUACAGACUCGGUCAGAGACAGUUUGAAAAUGUCAGUGAAGACACUUGCCAGUUGGUUCGCACAUGCUUUGAGUACACAUCCUGGUAAUCCAUCUGGCCCCGCGGUUUUGAGAAUGUUGACCUGUUUAAAGGUCUUGCUCACAUCGGCUAACGAGAGCAUGAUCACACUCCGGAACAGCUGGUGCUCUCAUGCAUGCUUCAGUGUUGCUUGCCUCAGAGUGAGUAUACAAUGUAUUUAGCCCGUCUGGUAUGCUCUCGUCACUGGGCAGCUCACAGCUGGGUUUCCUUCUGUAUCCUGUAAUAUACCACUACUUCUGUCAUUUACCAUCUCUGUUUUAGAACCAUUUUCACAUUAGCUAUGGGUGCUAUAAAGCUGUGUGAUUUUUAAAUGAUAAACCUCUUCAUUUUAUUGAUGAUAUUUAAUAAUCCUUAGAGCAGAAACACAGGGCAGAGUCAGACAUGUAACUGAGGCAUGAAGGCAGAAACACAGGGCAGAGUCAGACAUGUAACUGAGGCAUGAAGUCAGAAACACAGGGCAGAGUCUGACAUGCAACAGGCCGAAAUGUAAUACGUCUUAAUAUUAUUCUAUCAUAAAGAAGCAACACCAUUCAUUUGUCUUUAGUUAUAUUGUUGCACAGAAAAACAAGAACAUAUGAUAUUAAAGUGAUGCAUAGAAAAUCUAUUUCACUAAAGCAUUAAGCAUCAGCUGUUUUUUCAGGCAUGAUUUCAAAAUACAGGAAAAAUAAAUACUGUCCUCAAAAUGAAAACCAAGUGGUUAUUAAUACAAUCUAACAUAAAAAACACAAUAGAAGUUUGUUAUCAUGUCAUCUACAAUUUUCUCUAUACUGAAAAUCAGUUAUACCGUACAUUCAAAAACAUGAAUACUUUUUGUAAAUUCUGUUCAAAAAUACAAAAUCUGUGAUUAUUGAUGUAGUCUAGAACAGUAGAAGAACAGUUUUCAUUGUCACAGAAAGACUUAAGAGACAACACUAAUAUACACAUACCGUAUGUGUCGUCUUAAUGCCCCCAUAACAGGAAACUCUAUUUACUCAGCUGCCUGUAAAUGCAUUCAGCUAUGAAGAAACACAACAAAACAACGACUCAUUUUGGCUCAAAGACCCGAGAAGCUCUGGAUCUAGGGCAAGAUGGCAGUGACGGGAGAGGAAAAAGUGUUGACAUAACUGGUUCUAGAAUAUUUACAAGACAUUGUCUUCAAACAUUCAGAAAUCGACGCAGUAGUAAAAUCAUGACGUCAUCACCAUGGCACCAUAGUGUAGUGGCUGACGCACAGACUUCUGUGUCGUGAUUUCGCGAUGGGUUGGCAUGGCAGGGAUCGGAGUAGAAUAUGGACAAACUGUAUGGGAAUACAUAGUCCACCCCUGCAAUAUGGGUGAACACUAGCAUGUUGAUAUCUGGCAUUGUCCUACAUCAGAUAGUGUGUCGAUUCCACCUGCGGUUGAGGGACGAGCGACGUAGGAGUGACGCCACCUGACGUAAGUCAAUGGAUAUCUGGAGCGAGUCAAAAGAACAUAGGCUCAUUGAAUUAGGAAUGUUGAACUGUACUGCACUUAAACAGAGUUGGCACGUCUACAAUAAGUAUUGCCAGUAACACUAGUGGAUUGUGCUAUUGGCUGUGCGAUUCUGGGGCCUGAGCAGAGCUGUGUAAUUGGGUCAGGGAGGAGGAGGAGAAAGGUGUGAUGUAAAUAAUUGUUGUAAGCAAACGUCGGCUCCGGUGGCUGCCAGGUCAGUCCCAGAAGAGGUCGUUAGAGAAACAUACAUGUGUAAGCUGAUCUGUGAGCUGUGAGAAAUCCCGGCCCGGCACUCUGUUCUGCUGUUAUGGCUGACACUACUUUAGCAUUACAGAGCAGGCCAUGCAGCAGGCCGUGUAGCAGGCAAUGUAGACCCAACAUUCACCUAGAGAGCCACAGGGCUACAGGAAACAGGCCUGCCCUGAAUAGACACUAUUUACACACAUCUAGACGUGGCACAGGAGCUGGGCUAUAACACAGCCACUUACUUGACACAGUCAUACCUCACAUGGUAAUUAAUGGUAGAGUGGUAGCACUCUAAUGGUAGAGUGCUGGCUAACGCUUUAGCUAUUCCAGGCUCCGUGCUUUGUUUGUCUCUAGGUCUCUAUGACCACUUAGAGGGUGUAGAGUAUUACAGGGUUUCUCUGGUCUCUAUGACCACUGAGGGGGUGUAGAGUAUUACAGGGUUUCUCUGGUCUGAGUGUACUCUGAGUGUGCCUAAUACACUGACCACUGAGUGUGCCUAAUACACUGACCACUGAGUGUACCUAAUACACUGACCACUGUGUGUACCUAAUACACUGACCACUGUGUGUACCUAAUACACUGACCACUGUGUGUACCUAAUACACUGACCACUGUGUGUACCUAAUACACUGACCACUGUGUGUACCUAAUACACUGACCACUGUGUGUACCUAAUACACUGACCACUGUGUGUACCUAAUACACUGACCAGUGUGUACCUAAUAAACUGACCACUGUGUGUACCUAAUAAACUGACCACUGAGUGCACAUCCUCUACACUUACAAAUCAUUCAAAAUGACUUAACUGGCUGCAUCGUCCACAGAAACAGUUAAUUCAUUAUGACAGCUGGUGCUGGUUCGGAACCCACAAGGAAAUCUCCAGUCCAAUUCUUAGAUUUUGUCAGCAGUUUGUGAGUGCAUUGUUUAAUUUGUUCAGAUUCUAGAACACAUUGCUCAUUCAGGCAAGUCAAUGGGUUCAUUGGAAAGCUGAGUGGAGCUGAAGGGUAGGACUAAAAAUAACAAGAUAAACUAAAGUAAAAUGUAUUUACAGUAGGUUCAGAAGUUUGGUGAAACAGCACAGUUGGCAAGUAUAUGGCAAAUAGAAAUACAAUCUGGGUGGUCUUCAGAGAUAAAUGGGAGGGGUUGAGAAUAGCUUAAGGAUGGGACUAAAAACAAACAAAAGAUUACUAUUGUAAAAUACAUUACAUCCGUAAAAUGUAUAAAAAUAACCUCACAAUCAACGUCAACAAAACAAAGGAGAUGAUCGUGGACUUCAGGAAACAGCAGAGGGAGCACCCCCCUAUCCACAUCGACGGGACAGUAGUGGAGAGGGUAGUAAAGUUAAGACAGAUAGACAGACAGGCAGGCAGCGCCUCUUCAACCUCAGGAGGCUGAAGAAAUUUGACUUGUCACCAAAAGCACUCACAAACUUUUACAGAUGCACAAUCGAGAGCAUCCUGUCGAGCUGUAUCACCGCCUGGUACGGCAACUGCUCCGCCCACAACCGUAAGGCUCUCCAGAGGGUAGUGAGGUCUGCACAACGCAUCGCCGGGGGCAAAUUACCUGCCCUCCAGGACACCUACACCCCCCGAUGUCACAGGAAGGCCAAAAAGAUCAUCAAGGACAACAACCACCCGAGCCACUGCCUGUGCACCCCGCUAUCAUCCAGAAGGUGAGGUCAGUACAGGUGCAUCAAAGCUGGGACAGAGAGACUGAAAAACAGGUUCUAUCUCAAGUCCAUCAGACUGUUAAACAGUCACCACUAACAUAACAGUGCUGCCAACAUACUGACUCAACUCCAGCCACUUUAAUAAUGGAAAAUUAAUGUAAUAAAUGUAUCACUAGCCACUUUAAACAAUGUCACUUAAUAUAAUGUUUACAUACCCUACAUUACUCAUUUCAUAUGCAUAUACUGUACUCUAUACCAUCUACUGCACUUUGCCAUCUUUAUGUAAUACAUGUAUCACUAGCCACUUUAAACAAUGCCACUUUUAUGUUUACAUACCCUACAUUACUCAUCUCAUAUGUGUAUAUACUGUACUCGAUACCAUCUACUGCAUCUUGCCUAUGCCGUUCUGUACCAUCACUCAUCCAUAUAUCUUUAUGUACAUAUUCUUUAUCCCUUUACACUUGUGUGUAUAAGGUAGUUGUUGUGAAAUUGUUAGGUUUCUCCAUUACUCGUUGGUUAUUACUGCAUUGUCGGAACUAGAAGCACAAGCAUUUCGCUACACUCGCAUUAACAUCUGCUAACCAUGUGUAUGUGACAAAUACAAUUUGAUUUGAUUUAGUAUGUACAAGCUGGAAGUAGAAGCCUAAGAGUUGCUGUUCACUAGUUACUCCAAUUAGGGGAGGGAUGGUAGACUCCAGUGUGAUGAGAGAGAAUUCUGCAACCUAUAGGUUUAAUGUAUAGUUAUUAAUGGACAAGUCAGAAAUGUCAACAAUGCUCAUCAUUGUACACACACACACACACACACACACACACACACACACACACACACACACACACACACACACACACACACACACACACACACACAAACAACUAUUUUCUUGAAACAAAAGACAAGAGAAUAAAAAGAUGAUAGCUUUGCCAAUAAACAUGUUUCUCCAUAGAAGAGCGUGUCCUAGAGGGAAACCGUAGUUAUAAAGCCCCCAGCAGUGUGGUCCAUAUCACCCACUGUUGUUCUGAGCCUCUGCUAAGACCUCCAGAGGACUAGUCUGUUCAUUUAUGAACUAUGACAUACAAUGAGCGCCAAACAUAUUGGGACAGUGACACAUUUUCGGGUUGUUUUGGCUCUGUACUCCAGCGCUUUGAAUUUGAAAUGAUACAAUGACUAUGAGAUUAACGUGCAGGUUGUCAGCUUUCAAUUGAGGGUAUUUUCAUCCAUAUCGGAUGAACCGUUUAGAAAUUAUUAAAGUAGUAAAAAGUUAAGCAUUUGGUCCCAACAAGCUUGUGACUCUACCAAUUGGUUAGAUACAUUUUCUGUUAGUUUUGGUUGUGUUUCAGAUAAUUUUGUGCCCAAUAGAAAUGAAUGGUAAAUAAUGUAUUGUGUCAUUUUGGAGUCACUUUUAUUGUAAAUAAGAAUAUAAUAUGUUUCUAAACACAUCUACAUUAAUGUGGAUGUUACCAUGAUUACGGAUAAUCCUGAAUGAAUCGUGAAUAAUGAUGAGUGAGCAAGUCACAGAUGCACAAAUAUCAUACCCCCGCCAAAAAAUGCUAAUCUCCCCUGUAAUUGUAAUGGUGAAAGGUUAGCAUACCUCUUGGAGGUAUGAUAUUGGUGCGUCUAACUUUCUCAAUACUUUUGUAGCUCACUAUAUUACCCCACUGGGUCCUUUUUAAAUGAUGGUAUAUUAAUACAUUAUACUGCUAAAUGACGGUAUAUUAAUACAUUAUACUGCUAAAUGACGGUAUAUUAAUACAUUAUACUGCUAAAUGACGGUUUAUUAAUAAAUUAUACUGCUAAAUGACGG